GGAGAUUUAGCUCAGUGGUAGAGCGCUUGCCUAUCAGGCGUAAGGCCCUGGGUUCGGUCCCCAGCUCUG
rnacentral:tRNA from 1 species